GACGAACGCUGGCGGCGUGCUUAACACAUGCAAGUCGAGCGAGGCCCCUCCUUCGGGAGGGUGUCCUAGCGGCGAACAGGUGAGUAACACGUGGGCAACCUGCCCUCAGCUCUGGGAUAACUCCGGGAAACCGGGGCUAAUACCGGAUACGACCUCCACGGGCAUCUGCGGAGGUGGAAAGUUUUUCGGCUGAGGAUGGGCCCGCGGCCUAUCAGCUAGUUGGUGGGGUAGUGGCCCACCAAGGCGACGACGGGUAGCCGGCCUGAGAGGGCGACCGGCCACACUGGGACUGAGACACGGCCCAGACUCCUACGGGAGGCAGCAGUGGGGAAUAUUGCGCAAUGGGCGAAAGCCUGAUGCAGCGACGCCGCGUGAGGGACGAAGGCCUUCGGGUUGUAAACCUCUUUCAGCAGGGACGAAGCGAAAGUGACGGUACCUGCAGAAGAAGCACCGGCCAACUACGUG
rnacentral:rRNA from 1 species